rnacentral:rRNA from 1 species
UGGGCGCAAGCCUGAUCCAGCCAUGCCGCGUGGGUGAAGAAGGCCUUCGGGUUGUAAAGCCCUUUUGUUGGGAAAGAAAAGCAGUCGGCCAAUACCCGAUUGUUCUGACGGUACCCAAAGAAUAAGCACCGGCUAACUUCGUGCCAGCAGCCGCGGUAAUACGAAGGGUGCAAGCGUUACUCGGAAUUACUGGGCGUAAAGCGUGCGUAGGUGGUGGUUUAAGUCCGUUGUGAAAGCCCUGGGCUCAACCUGGGAAUUGCAGUGGAUACUGGGUCACUAGAAUGUGGUAGAGGGUAGCGGAAUUCCCGGUGUAGCAGUGAAAUGCGUAGAGAUCGGGAGGAACAUCCGUGGCGAAGGCGGCUACCUGGACCAACAUUGACACUGAGGCACGAAAGCGUGGGGAGCAAACAGGAUUAGAUACCCUGGUAGUCCACGCCCUAAACGAUGCGAACUGGAUGUUGGGUGCAAUUUGGCACGCAGU